UGUAAGAAAAGCCGGAGGGACAGACACUGCUGUUGGCAUCCUGUUAAGCACAGGCGAGGACUGUAUAGCUUUCACUAGUGACCUUUCAGCUUCCAAAAUCUUGGCUGUAACUUGCUAAAAUACAGUUUGCCUUCACUAUCACACCUGUCCAAGUGGAGGUGGGCGGGAAUGAACUGAACUGGAGCUGGCUGAGCAUGCUUUGAGCAUGCUGCUUCCCUGGAGGUGCCAAGCUGAAGCCAAGCAGCAUGGCCAGGCCAUCCUGGGCCUUGCAGCGAGUCCUCUGCAUCAGAAGUUGCUGCCUGGAUGCUGCUCUCAGGAGGGACCUCUCAGUCCCCACAGCCCAGCAGACUCUGGAACAACUCCUCUCCCAGCUCCAGGGCUCUGCCGAGCGAAGCACCGCCGCUGACCGAAGCACAGCCACCCAGCCUGCGUGGAGCCGCGGGACGCUGGAGCAAAUCGCAGCCUGACGGCCAGCGACGACCUCUGCAAGCCAGCGAGUGCGAGAUGUCUCAGCCUUGGGACCUCAGCGAUUCCACAGCUUCAGGUAUCUCUUCUGAAACGGGCUCAAAUAACUCCCUGACCUGCGGCUGUGACCAUGAUCAUGCAACACAUGAACUCUGCAUUUGGACAGGCUAGCAUGCAGCCGUUACCUCCUCUCAAGAGCUGCACACAAAAUAAAUACAUCCAGUACCGUGAUGCAAAAAUAAUGUUGGUUAGAAAUCCGGAAGCCCCUUCUGCCUCAUGACUAUUUUCUCCCAGCAGCUCAGAGGUGGGACACAGCCACCGCAUGGUUCGCCUGAGCCUGCACGUGGUGCGGGGAGGGCUGGGGCGAUGUUGGGUUGCCCUUAUUCGUACUCGUUUUACUGAUCUGCCCCUAUUUGAUGGGUUUGUUUUCAGUUUUCAGAAUAGCACAGGUUCAAAGCAACAGGUGAAGCAUUUCUGGCUCUCUCCCUCUUCACCAAAGGCAGUGCAAGAUGUCUAACGAAAAAAAGAACAAAUAUUAAGCUAAAGGCACAUGUUGGUCUUACUAACCAACACUUACUAACCUUAGAAGGCUUAUUACUGUUUUGCUGCUGCUUUUUGCCCCAAAAAGGAAGUAUUCUGGGCUGGAACAACUGUGAGGCAUGUUUAGAGCAAGAUAAAACUCCAGUCAAGAUCCUGCCCUCUGUUAAAGGUAUUUUUGUCCAGGAAACAUAUUGGGAAUAACUGGCGGGUGGGGGAAACCAAAGGAAAUAAUUAAAAAUAGGUGAGUAAACUGUCUUUCUUUGCCCCCGCUUUUUUUUUUCCCCUGCUUUCCACAACAGAGAAAGCACACAAAACCAAUUACAUUCAUUCUAAUUUUGGAAAAAGUGGGUUAUUUAAGGCCAAAACAAAAACGGAAGACUUCACCCUGGAAUAACACUCUCCAGAGCCUGCACUGGCAAGGUACUAAAGCACUUCCCAGCUGGGUGAAAUGAUGCUGCCUUUGGCCUUAAGCCCCAUGGCACACCAAAGGCAUGAAACUGUGCCUCAUCGCAGAUAUCUUUUAUCGUGGCUUAGGGCCAAAAAAGCAACAAUAAUGACUUAUAUUGUACAGCACAUUUCAUAAUCCACUGGGGUUGCAACCAAGUGGGUUGUGUGUAGCUGUGCCCUUCUCAUUCAAAUUCCUAAAAGUACCAAAUUAAUGUGCUGGUUUGUGGUUGUUAGAGAAGACACUAAGUGGCCUGCCUUUCCUCUUCAUUGCUUGAUAAUGCAUCCCGCUGCAAGUCCUCCUGAGAACUGCUGCUGUUGAUUUUUAACCUCCUAGGGCUGAAACAACAUUUUAAUACCAGGAAGUGUAUAAUCAGUGCAAACCUGCCCUUGCUCAGGUCCCCAGCUGGAGCAAGAGAUGUAUCUGUUUGAAACCCAGAAAGACAAAACCAUUCGUUCUCAGCUGAUCACCUCGGAACUGCUCUCCCUGGCAGCUGGGCAUAAGGCUCCUUCAUGUGGAAUUAAUGCCUGCUCUUCAAUAAAUCACCCAUCGCUUAUUUUUUUGCCUCCUUGCUGCUUAGCCUAACAUUUUCCUGAAUAGCCAGGAAUAAAGUGGCAUUGUAGGCUUUUUUAAGUUCACAGAGUUGCACGUGAUUAACAAUAGCCAAGAACCAAAAGCAUUAUGCUUAAACAUGUCUAAUAAAUAUAAUGGAGAGAGAGAGAAGUCUGAAGGCUUUUCUACAUCUGAAACAGAUAAUUCAAGGGUCAUAAAAAAUUCACUGCCAUAAAAAAUGUAAGUCCCUGGAGCUUUUGGAGUAAAUCCAGUCUGAAUCCAAAGAGCAUCAACAAGGGAUGCCUUUAAUAAAAGUUUAAUUAAUGAA